AACUGCAUUCCAAACAAUGAUCUGGACCUGAAACAUCCAGAGCCUGAAAGGUGUCACAGUCAUCGUCUGGUGUGCACAACAAUAUCAUCUUUGGACAAGUGCAUUCAGUGUGUGGGACCGGUUUCCUCCCUCAAGUGGCUUGGCUAUAAGUGCAAAGUUUGUUUAGGGGUCUGGCACAAAUCCUGCCUUGC